ensembl:ncRNA lncRNA:CR45430 long non-coding RNA:CR45430
AGAGCAUGCCGAAGUUUUACAGCCGACAAAAUCCAAAACUCGGCACAAAAAUGAAAACGAAACAGAAAAUUUUGGCCGGAAAAAGGCUAACCAAUUUAAGCGGCUUAUGUCUCCUCCCCCCAAAACAACUCGCAAUCCACGGCCCAUUGCCCGCCACUCGGCUUGAAGUUUGCCGCGAUUUUGGCCAACAAGAAUUGCUCGGAAAAAAAGCCGGCCGGCGAAUACCGCAAUAAAUACCGCACAAUAAAAGCAAAUCUAUAAAACACCAGCGAGCAGGACUCGUUCAAGGGAAUGGACGAGCAGUUACUGUACACCAGCCUCGCACCAGAUCACCAGAUGGGGUUGCCCACCCAGUCUUCGCCGCCUUUCGGGACCACACGCAAUGCAAUCCUGAUUCGGGGGAAUUUUUUGUUCAAUCGAUUUUUGCUAGCUUCGCUCUGGUUUCCUUUUUUUGCAUACUUCACACCAUUGACGGGCCUGCGGCUUCUGCGCCGCCCUUUCCAAGCAGGGGAUACGGAUACCUGUAUCCUCCUGCAAUCAGGGAAUCCAAGCGGAAACGCGAAAAUCCCCGACACUUUAUUUUAUUACAUUUUAGUGGUGCGGCGCGUCGGACAAAAGGCAAGCUCGAAUACCACGACACGGCCAUAAAAGAGGCACAAAGCCCGCUGAGAUCCAGAAAUUGAUUGUUCGUCUGUUCGUCAGUAGUCUGCGACGUUUCGACUGGUUCGUCGUGCAUUUACAAUAUUGAAAUGUAGGAUCUCCCUCUGCAGAGC